rnacentral:rRNA from 1 species
GACGAACGCUGGCGGCGUGCUUAACACAUGCAAGUCGAACGGAAAGGCCCUGCUUUUGUGGGGUGCUCGAGUGGCGAACGGGUGAGUAACACGUGAGUAACCUGCCCUUGACUUUGGGAUAACUUCAGGAAACUGGGGCUAAUACCGGAUAGGAGCUCCUGCUGCAUGGUGGGGGUUGGAAAGUUUCGGCGGUUGGGGAUGGACUCGCGGCUUAUCAGCUUGUUGGUGGGGUAGUGGCUUACCAAGGCUUUGACGGGUAGCCGGCCUGAGAGGGUGACCGGCCACAUUGGGACUGAGAUACGGCCCAGACUCCUACGGGAGGCAGCAGUGGGGAAUAUUGCACAAUGGGCGGAAGCCUGAUGCAGCAACGCCGCGUGCGGGAUGACGGCCCUCGGGUUGUAAACCGCUUUCGCCUGUGACGAAGCGUGAGUGACGGUAAUGGGUAAAGAAGCACCGGCUAACUACGUGCCAGCAGCCGCGGUGAUACGUAGGGUGCGAGCGUUGUCCGGAUUUAUUGGGCGUAAAGGGCUCGUAGGUGGUUGAUCGCGUCGGAAGUGUAAUCUUGGGGCUUAACCCUGAGCGUGCUUUCGAUACGGGUUGACUUGAGGAAGGUAGGGGAGAAUGGAAUUCCUGGUGGAGCGGUGGAAUGCGCAGAUAUCAGGAGGAACACCAGUGGCGAAGGCGGUUCUCUGGGCCUUUCCUGACGCUGAGGAGCGAAAGCGUGGGGAGCGAACAGGCUUAGAUACCCUGGUAGUCCACGCUGUAAACGGUGGGUACUAGGUGUGGGGUCCAUUCCACGGGUUCCGUGCCGUAGCUAACGCUUUAAGUACCCCGCCUGGGGAGUACGGCCGCAAGGCUAAAACUCAAAGGAAUUGACGGGGCCCCGCACAAGCGGCGGAGCAUGCGGAUUAAUUCGAUGCAACGCGUAGAACCUUACCUGGGUUUGACAUGGAUCGGGAGUGCUCAGAGAUGGGUGUGCCUCUUUUGGGGUCGGUUCACAGGUGGUGCAUGGCUGUCGUCAGCUCGUGUCGUGAGAUGUUGGGUUAAGUCCCGCAACGAGCGCAACCCUUGUUCACUGUUGCCAGCACGUUAUGGUGGGGACUCAGUGGAGACCGCCGGGGUCAACUCGGAGGAAGGUGGGGAUGACGUCAAGUCAUCAUGCCCCUUAUGUCCAGGGCUUCACGCAUGCUACAAUGGCUGGUACAGAGAGUGGCGAGCCUGUGAGGGUGAGCGAAUCUCGGAAAGCCGGUCUCAGUUCGGAUUGGGGUCUGCAACUCGACCUCAUGAAGUCGGAGUCGCUAGUAAUCGCAGAUCAGCAACACUGCGGUGAAUACGUUCCCGGGGCU